GGAUGUGAGGGUGAUCUGGCUAUGACAUCUGUCGCCCCAUUGCCCGCCAUCGUGGCUUUGGCUGAUCUGGCUGGUGAGGUGAGUGUCCCCUUCCUCCCUCACAGCUCCUCGUGAAGCUGCACGCUUGGUCCGAAAGGAUGACCUUUCCCAAUAGAGGAGGAUCAUUAUUUGGUCAGGUCAGUGGUAUACCAGUAGCUCCACUCCCCUCCCACAAACUGGAAACAAGAUCUCAGGGUCCAUUUGUAGGAGAAUGUAGGGUCGUCAAGCUUCCAAGACUCCAGAAAUAAGGUGUUUCAUGUGGCAGUCUACCUCUCUUA
rnacentral:snRNA from 1 species